AAAAGUUAGAGGAAUAAAAGAUAAUAUUAGGUACACACUCAUAAUUAAGGACAAUUUACACACAUACAUUAUAAUCUUAAUUACAUAUAAACAUGUAUAAUUUUAUUGAAAUUAGAUAAUAUAUCUUAAAAAUCAUAAAACAACACAUGUAUAACAUAGGUUCUGUGAUUCAAAUUUGGAUUAGUACGUUUCAGUAGGCUUCUGGAUGAAGAAUCAGAACUGAACCAAAAU
rnacentral:misc_RNA from 1 species